GCUGGGGUGGGCUUGGGAAGGGACUCACCCCCCAGCCAAGGUGCUAGGUGUGGCCACUGGGAAGUGACAGCUUUUCCCCUGCAGGUGUUGGCUUCCGUGGCUUUGGAGUUCCAGGGGGAGCUGGCAGAGUCGUCAAUGGGCUAGGAACUGGUUUCGGUGCUGGAGGCUUACAGCCAGGGGCUGUAUUUCCUGGCUUUGGUCUGUCUCCCAUUUACCCAGGUAUUUUAGGAAAAACAAUUUCUAUCUCCUGGCAGCGAUCUUGUCCUAGAGGCCAGCCCCCAACCCCCAUUCCAUAUCCUCUGUGAUCCUCUUACCCACUAAGAAGGAGGCACAGCGUAGACACAGGACCAUCCCUGUUUAUAAGAAGAU
rnacentral:lncRNA from 1 species